rnacentral:rRNA from 1 species
UACGUAGGGAGCAAGCGUUGUCCGGAAUCAUUGGGCGUAAAGCGCGCGUAGGCGGCCUCGUAAGUCCGUUGUGAAAGUCAAAGGCUCAACCUUUGAAAGCCGAUGGAUACUGUGAGGCUAGAGUCCGGAAGAGGCGAGUGGAAUUCCUGGUGUAGCGGUGAAAUGCGCAGAUAUCAAGGAGGAACACCCGGUGGCGAAGGCGG